rnacentral:rRNA from 1 species
UACGAAGGGGGCUAGCGUUGCUCGGAAUCACUGGGCGUAAAGCGCACGUAGGCGGCUUGUUAAGUCAGGGGUGAAAUCCUGGAGCUCAACUCCAGAACUGCCUUUGAUACUGGCGAGCUUGAGUCCGGGAGAGGUGAGUGGAACUGCGAGUGUAGAGGUGAAAUUCGUAGAUAUUCGCAAGAACACCAGUGGCGAAGGCGGCUCACUGGCCCGGUACUGACGCUGAGGCACGAAAGUGUGGGGAUCAAACAGG